rnacentral:lncRNA from 1 species
GGCGACUUCCGACGGAAAAAGUAGCGGGAGGCCGGAAAUUAUUGUCUUUGGCCUCUGGUUCUGCGAGCCGAUUGUGUUUUCGUACCGUCAAAAAAAAAAAAAAGAAAAGAAAGAAAACAACUACCUUUCUGAAUGUAUUGUAUCCAAGGCCUUUGCAAUGUUGGGAGCAGAGUGAGCAGGUGUGGGGAGUCCUGAAAGACUGGUUACAUUACGGAGGUCAUCUGGCAUCCAGAGAAAGCUACUGCUUCAUCAAGCAGUUCUCCACCCUGCUGUAAUUAAAUACCUUGAAUUUUCUUUCUUUCCCCCAUGUAAAUGAAGGACUUCGUGGUCUUCUCUAAAAGUUUCUGUUCUGACUAACUUUGAUUCUCGGUUCCGUCAUCCAUUUCAUCUUGUGUUCUGUUGCCUUUGGUUAUAUCACACAAAGAGAAGGGUUGGGAUGUAAGUGAGUUAAGUUAUCCAGGACAAAAUCUUCGCUGACCACCUCAUCUGUGAUGGAAGCAUCCUCAUUUAAUAUGUAUUCUGCAAACUUUUUUUUUGAACCUCCAGUCACAAAUGCUGGAAUCUGCUUUAUAAGGCAAUAGGAAAAAGACAGAAGCCAAAAUACAAGGAUUCUACUCAAGCCUUCUGGAAAGGACUGUGUUGCCUUUGAUGCAUGGAGCAAAGAAUUCUUAGAUUUUCCUGCCAGCCCCUGAAACCGGACCUGUGAUGUCAAGUUGGGUUUUGUUGUUGUUUGUUUUAACCUGCCAUGAGAUGGGUUGACAGGAUCAAUCAUUUUACACCAUGAUCCCUUGUCCCUGGGAGGACUGUCUGAGACAUUAGAGAAAUGGGAUACAGACUUCCUCACUGGGCUGGGGGAGCUGGCUCAGGUGCAGAGUACUUGCCACGAUAUGAAGAUCCACUUUUAAAAUAAAUCAAACAUAGUCAAGCAUAA